rnacentral:rRNA from 1 species
GACGAACGCUGGCGGCGUGCCUAACACAUGCAAGUCAACUUGACGGAAGGAGCAAUCUGACCGUAGAGUGGCGCAAGGGUGCGUAACGCGUAAGUAACUUGCCCCAAGGUAAGGAAUAACGUCGAGAAAUCGGCGCUAAUACCUCAUAAUGCAGCGGAUCCGCAUGGAUAUGUUGUUAAAGGUUUACCGCCUUGGGAUAGGCUUGCGUCUGAUUAGCUAGUUGGUGUGGUAACGGCACACCAAGGCUACGAUCAGUAACUGGUCUGAGAGGAUGAUCAGUCACACUGGAACUGAGACACGGUCCAGACUCCUACGGGAGGCAGCAGUGAGGAAUAUUGGGCAAUGCUCGAAAGAGUGACCCAGCAACGCCGCGUGGAGGAUGAAGGUAUUCUAUAUCGGUAAACUCCUGUGAGAGCAGACGAAAGACAGAUUAUAAUCUGGAUGACUGUAUGCUCAGAGGAA